rnacentral:rRNA from 1 species
CCUACGGGAGGCAGCAGUGGGGAAUAUUGCACAAUGGGCGGAAGCCUGAUGCAGCGACGCCGCGUGAGGGAUGACGGCCUUCGGGUUGUAAACCUCUUUCAGCAGGGACGAAGCGAAAGUGACGGUACCUGCAGAAGAAGCGCCGGCCAACUACGUGCCAGCAGCCGCGGUAAGACGUAGGGCGCGAGCGUUGUCCGGAUUUAUUGGGCGUAAAGAGCUCGUAGGCGGCUUGUCGCGUCGACUGUGAAAACCCGCGGCUCAACCGCGGGCCUGCAGUCGAUACGGGCAGGCUAGAGUUCGGUAGGGGAGACUGGAAUUCCUGGUGUAGCGGUGAAAUGCGCAGAUAUCAGGAGGAACACCGAUGGCGAAGGCAGGUCUCUGGGCCGAUACUGACGCUGAGGAGCGAAAGCGUGGGGAGCGAACAGGAUUAGAUACCCUGGUAGUCCACGCUGUAAACGUUGGGCGCUAGGUGUGGGGGACCUCUCCGGUUCUCUGUGCCGCAGCUACGCAUAGCGCCCCGCCGUCGGGAGGUACGGCCGGCGAACGGACGUAAACCGUACGAAAGGAAGUUAGACGGCGUGAGACGUCGCCGACGGACGACGACGAGGGAGAGG